GACGAACGCUGGCGGCGCGCCUAACACAUGCAAGUCGAACGAGCGGAGAACUUCGGUUCAAAGCUAGUGGCGGACGGGUGAGUAACACGUGAGGAACCUGCCUCUCAGAGGGGGAUACCGUUUGGAAACGAACGUUAAUACCCCAUAACGUAUCUUGAUCGCAUGGUCUUGAUACCAAAGAUUUAUCGCUGAGAGAUGGCCUCGCGUCUGAUUAGAUAGUUGGUGAGGUAACGGCCCACCAAGUCUACGAUCAGUAGCCGGACUGAGAGGUUGAUCGGCCACAUUGGGACUGAGACACGGCCCAGACUCCUACGGGAGGCAGCAGUGGGGGAUAUUGCACAAUGGGCGAAAGCCUGAUGCAGCGACGCCGCGUGAGGGAAGACGGUUUUCGGAUUGUAAACCUCUGUC
rnacentral:rRNA from 1 species